rnacentral:piRNA from 1 species
CACCAGAGAAUCCAUACUGGAGAGAAAUGC